UUGGCAUUUUGCAUUAGAUAGAGUAAAGAAGAGAAGCAGACAGGAAGUCACAUGUGACGAAGAUCUGCGGCUGGAUUAGAAGCGGGGCAUCACAAGACAACCUCUUUGCAGCCUGUAGCUCAAGAAAGUUUCAGUUCUCUGAUUUGAAAGCCAGUGGGUGCCUGAAGGACAUGUGUUUCUGUCCCCGUCCUGGUCAGUCGUUGUAGCGUGACAGUUUGAGUCGGGGGAUGAUGUUCAUGGACUGCAGCUCCUGGAACAGCAGCUUGCAGGCGUACGGGAUACGCAGGGAGGAAACGUGGCAGGAAGACUUGCAGUAGUGACACCUGGAAGAUUGGAAGAGAGAAUCAGACUGCAGACAAACCAGAGGACUAACGACUGAACUUCCAUCAGAAGGACCAGAGUUCUAACUCAAAAGUGAUGACUCAGUAGCCAAUGAGAGCUCAUCUAUAGUGAGGUGAUGUAGGAAGAUAAACUAUUAAGAGAUGUAAACAUUUUAUUUAAAGUUAGUGUAAACUUUUUCCUGAAAACGACAACGCUACAUUAAGUUUCUUGUUCUUUCAGUACACAGUAAUGGACACCGGGUCAUGAGGGGGACAAAUCCUCAGGUCCAUUGCUCCAGGUGUGUUAUCCUGUAUGUUGGCUUCCAGGAGAAACAGAUCAACAGAUCUGCACUAGUCGACAGACGUGUUCGACUUACCACCCGGAGUAUCCCAGCAAGCCGCAUUGCCCGCACACGUCCACCUCAAAGGCGUCACUGGAGAUCAUGAGGCGCUCCAGCAGCAACAUACUCGCUCCGUAGCCGAUCAGACAGUCACGUUCCAUCUCGCCCAGACGCAGACCUCCGUCUCUGGAGCGGCCCUCCGUAGGCUGCCUGAUAACGACACAGAUGCAUAAUAAUACUGCCAGAGUAAUAGAGGUAUUGGUAUAAGAGAGCAGCACUGCUCUAUUUUUGUUAUUUCUAUAGAAUUACGAUGAGACUAUUGAUUUUUACCUGGUGAGAACGGCUCUGGGGCCUCGGGCUCUGGCAUGCAUUUUGUCAAGUACCAUGUGCUUGAGUUUCUGAUAAUAAACCGGUCCAAAGUAGAUAUAAGCCUCCAGAGGUUCCCUGAGGAAAAUACGUAGAUAUCAAGCUAAUGCAUCCGUAAUGAUCUAAUCAACACUACAAUACAGGAUAUCUCAAUUAACACUCAAUUCAAUAACAUCCCAUUCUCACUUUAACAUUGCAUGGAUACACACAUCACCUUACAGAGUAAAUAUCAGGCCUGUAUCUUUACCUAUGCUGUACAAAUGCUACAUACCGCUGAUAAAGGAAAAAACAUUGUAUUAAAAUGUA